GACGAACGCUGGCGGCGCGCCUAACACAUGCAAGUCGAACGAGCGAGAGAGAGCUUGCUUUCUCGAGCGAGUGGCGAACGGGUGAGUAACGCGUGAGGAACCUGCCUCAAAGAGGGGGACAACAGUUGGAAACGACUGCUAAUACCGCAUAAGCCCACGGGUCGGCAUCGACCAGAGGGAAAAGGAGCAAUCCGCUUUGAGAUGGCCUCGCGUCCGAUUAGCUAGUUGGUGAGGUAAUGGCCCACCAAGGCGACGAUCGGUAGCCGGACUGAGAGGUUGAACGGCCACAUUGGGACUGAGACACGGCCCAGACUCCUACGGGAGGCAGCAGUGGGGAAUAGUGCACAAUGGGGGAAACCCUGACGCAGCGACGCCGCGUGGAGGAAGAAGGUCUUCGGAUUGUAAACUCCUGUUGUUGGGGAAGAUAAUGACGGUACCCAACAAGGAAGGGACGGCUAACUACG
rnacentral:rRNA from 1 species